rnacentral:rRNA from 1 species
UACGUAGGGGGCAAGCGUUACUCGGAUUUACUGGGCGUAAAGCGAGUUAAGGUGGUUUGAUAAGUCAGAGGUGAAAUCCCUUGGCCUAACCAAGGAACUGCCUUUGAUACUGUCAGACUUGAGGACAGGAGAGGAAAGUGGAAUUCCCGGUGUAGCGGUGGAAUGCGUAGAUAUCGGGAGGAACACCAGAGGCGAAGGCGGCUUUCUGGACUGGUCCUGACACUGAUACUCGAAAGUUAGGGGAG